rnacentral:lncRNA from 1 species
GCCCAGACGUAGGGAAACGAAUACUUGAGAAAAAAAGAAUUAACCGCCGAGACGUCCCGACCUCCCUUGUCCCGCCCCCCGAGCUUCCGCUUCCGGGAAGGAGACUGCGGAACGCCCCGCCUCAUAGUCUUUUUGGUACUAAAGUUUUUCCUUCGGGUCGGGACCUAGCGCCCUGGGCGUGCGCAACAGACUCCGCGCGCUCGAGCUUGCCGCACCCUGGGCGGAGAGUGGGGGAGGCCAACAGACGUCACGGGGGCGGGGCAAGACGGGGGAGGGGCUCGGGGCUCGGCCUAUCGGGGGCUGGGCGACCAACGGAGGAACUCUCUGGCAUUGCAGCGCUGGUUUCAACUGGCUUAAGUGGGAACCAGGGCCUGCUAGACCCCGGGGUAGAGACUACUGCUGGCUUUCAGAAGUGACAUGAAGCUCUGUGUGCUGUUUUAAGUGUAUUUGUCAUUGAUAGUCAAUAGAAAUCAAACCUCGGUAUCAUCGUCUUGUGAACUUGUUGACAGUUUCAGAAUUCUUCACUGUGUGGCCUCUCUGGACAGUGUUCGGUGGUUGGGAUUUUGGACUUAUCCAGUUCGUGGUUUGGCUGCCUACUUCUUCUACCGAGAUAAUUGCUAUUGAUAAAGAAUGAGUCUUUUUACCACUGA